rnacentral:rRNA from 1 species
CGAACGCUGGCGGCGUGCCUAAUACAUGCAAGUCGAGCGGACAGAUGGGAGCUUGCUCCCUGAUGUUAGCGGCGGACGGGUGAGUAACACGUGGGUAACCUGCCUGUAAGACUGGGAUAACUCCGGGAAACCGGGGCUAAUACCGGAUGGUUGUUUGAACCGCAUGGUUCAAACAUAAAAGGUGGCUUCGGCUACCACUUACAGAUGGACCCGCGGCGCAUUAGCUAGUUGGUGAGGUAACGGCUCACCAAGGCRACGAUGCGUAGCCGACCUGAGAGGGUGAUCGGCCACACUGGGACUGAGACACGGCCCAGACUCCUACGGGAGGCAGCAGUAGGGAAUCUUCCGCAAUGGACGAAAGUCUGACGGAGCAACGCCGCGUGAGUGAUGAAGGUUUUCGGAUCGUAAAGCUCUGUUGUUAGGGAAGAACAAGUACCGUUCGAAUAGGGCGGUACCUUGACGGUACCUAACCAGAAAGCCACGGC